rnacentral:rRNA from 1 species
UACGUAGGGUGCGAGCGUUAAUCGGAAUUACUGGGCGUAAAGCGUGCGCAGGCGGUUCGCUAAGACCGAUGUGAAAUCCCCGGGCUUAACCUGGGAACUGCAUUGGUGACUGGCGGGCUAGAGUGUGGCAGAGGGGGGUAGAAUUCCGCGUGUAGCAGUGAAAUGCGUAGAGAUGCGGAGGAACACCGAUGGCGAAGGCAGCCCCCUGGGCUAACACUGACGCUCAGGCACGAAAGCGUGGGGAGCAAACAGG